UUCUUCCCGAAAUGCGUUGAUGCGAAGUAGUUGACUAGACAUAUAGGGGUAAAGCAUUGUUUAGGUGCGGGUCGCGAGAGCGAUACUAAAUCGAGGCAAACUUUGAAUACUAGAUAUGACCUCAAAAUAACAAGGGUCAAAGUCGGCAAGUGAGACGAUGGGGGAUAAGCUUCAUCGUCGAGAGGGAAACAACCCGGAUCACCAGCUAAGGCCCCUAAAUGACAAGUCAGUGAUAAAGGAGGUAGGGGUGCAAAGACAACCAGGAGAUUUUCCUAGAAGCAGCCACCCUUAAAAGAGUGUGUAAUAGCUCAAUGAUCGAGCGCUCUUACGCUGAAGAUGAACGGGGCUAACCGAUCUGCCGAAGCUGUGGGAUGUCAAAUUGAAUAGGUAGGGGAGUGUUCUGCCUUAGAGGGGAGGACCCGCAUGUGUAGUGUUGGACGAAGCGGAAGCG
rnacentral:ncRNA from 1 species